ensembl:Y_RNA Y_RNA Y RNA
GGCUGGUCCAAGAACAGUGGUGUUUACAACAAAUUGAUCACAACCAAUUACAGAUUUCUUUAUUCCUUCCCCACUCCCACUGUUUCACCUGACUAGUAUUUU